AUUGAACGCUGGCGGCAGGCCUAACACAUGCAAGUCGAGCGGAGCGGCGGACGGGUGAGUAAUGCCUAGGAAUCUGCCUGGUAGUGGGGGAUAACGUCCGGAAACGGGCGCUAAUACCGCAUACUAUCAGAUGAGCCUAGGUCGGAUUUGCUAGUUGGUGGGGUAAAGGCCGACGAAGGCGAAGAUCCGGAACUGGACUGAGAGGUUGAGCAGUCACACGGGAACUGAGACACGGCCCAGACUCCUACGGGAGGCAGACGUGGGGAAUAUUGGAAAAUGGGCGAAGGCCUGAGCCAGCCAUGCCGCGUGUGUGAAGAAGGUCUUCGGAUUGUAAAGCACUUUAAGUUGGGAGGCGUUACCAACAGAAUAAGCACCGGCUAACUUCGUGCCAGCAGCCGCGGUAAUAC
rnacentral:rRNA from 1 species